rnacentral:lncRNA from 1 species
UAAAAUAACACAUUCUGGAAAAAAUUCAACCCUUAACACAUUUACUUAUAAUUAUAUCAAUAUAUAAUUAUCGUCAUCUAAUCAUAAUAGUUUCACUCAUGACAUCAAUAUUCAAUAAUGGAAGAAAUAGGAAAAACCUAAUGGGGAUUAAGGACUUCUCCUUUUCCAUCAUGCAAUUAUACAUUUAUUGAUAAUUCUUUCCCCCCUUACCUCGAUUUUCCAGCAAAACGACAAUAGCUUCGAAGAAAUUCUUCUCUCAAAUCCUAACUGCCCAUCUUUGCCUCUUUUGCUCCGCUUCUCCAAAAAUACGACUCUUUUAGGUUCUCCUAAUUCCUAUUUUAUUCCAAA